AAAGAAGGGGGGGAAGAGGAACAGCUCAGGCUGUGCCAGUCAGUUUUCUGUCACCUGACACAAGCUGGGGUCAUGAGGAAGGACCCUCACUUGAGAAAACGCCUCCAUCAGAUUGGCAUAUAGUCAACUCUGUGCACCAUUUUCUUGAUUAAUGACUUGUAUGGGAGAGCCCAGACUACUGUGAAUGGUGCCAUCCCCGAUUACGUGGUCCUGGAUUGUAUACAAAAGCAGGCUGAGCAAGCCGAGACAAGCAAGCUGGUAAGCGCUGUUCCUCUGUGGCCUCUGCAUCUUCUGCUUCCAUGUUCCUGCCCUGGCUUCUCUUCAUGAUGGACGCUCUUACUCUCCAUAGUUAUGAUGCUGUUCCUUGGACAGAGAGGGACUAAGAGAAAGAGAGAGGAGGUCAUUUCUAUCCAGGCUCUCUCUGAGUUCGUUUCUUGUUACUAUGACAAAAUACCGAAGACCUGAGUUCUAUUCCUGGGAUCCACGUGAUGGGAUGGAAGCACUUACAUUCACGAGUCGCACUUUGGCCUCCAUGUGCACACUGUGGAAAAUGCACCCCAAUAAAUGGUAAUAAAAAUGAAGUGAACAGCAAAUGAGAGAGAUAGGAAAACAGGAAGUGAAGUCACAAUAUCAAAGGGCAUCUCCAACCUGAGGAGCGGUGGUCUGUAGACAUCAUUACACAGAGGCCGGUGAGAGCAUCAGCUCCCAGAAAGCUUCCUGGACUUAAAAUCAGGAAGUCGCUGUGACCUUUGAGAUGACGCCACUGUUCCAGCAGGGGAGGAUACGUUGAGAGCCAUUAUGCUACGGCAUCAAGAGCCACCUUGAGAGAGCUGGUUGUGCUGGCACACACCUUUAUGCUCAGAACUCAGGAGGCAGAUGCAGCCAAGUAUCUUUGAAGUCAAGGACAACCUGGCCUAUAUAAUGGCAGCUGAGGACUCAGCCCAGGUGAGGCUUCCGCCUGAAAGAUGAGCUAAAGCCAGAGGGAAAUUCCAUCCAGGACCUCACAUGUGACUCGUUCCAAGGGCUCUGAAGACAGAUCGUUUCCAUCCACAGUCCCCAUAUUACGUGGGGUGAUGACUGAAAGCUGGAGGGAGCCACUGGAGGUGAAAUUCAAGAAUUAAGUGAAGAGUGAAGAGAGAAUUCUUGGAAGGAAUGCAGAGACCCAGGCCUGGGAGGGGAAGAGCUGCUUUUACACUGGGAUAGGGUUUGGAGGUAGCUGAUGCAUGCUGGAGUUCAGGACACAAACCUGGAAAGUGGAUGAAGAAGGAGAUGCAGAGAAGCCGAAGGCCCUGCUUAGACUGCCAUGAAGAGAGGAUUUGCACCCAGAUGGUUCUGCCUAGACCUUCAACAAAGCUCGCUUGGGUUUGAAGAUGAAUGCCAAUGGAGACAUACGUGUUGAUUAUCGACUCUGUGGCAAAGCAUCGUGGUUUGAUAACAGUAAAAGUCGGUUCUUUCCGAAACUCACAGUCAUAAAGAGAUGGGUGUGGUCUGUCUGUCACCAAGGGUGUUGCUUUGCUGGGCUCCGAACAAGUCAGGCCCUGAUUAGACUCCAGUUAAGAAGCUUGUGUGUGUGUGUGUGUGUGUGUGUGUGAGUGUGUGUGUGUGUGUGUGAGCGCGCGCACAGAGGAUUGUCCUGUACACAUCUGUGUGGAUGGCAACUGGCUGUGUGGACCACCUUUGCCCAAAUGACUCCAGUGGCCUCUGGCAUCAGAAUCCCUGUCCCUGCUGGGAGCAGGGGCAACUCUGGAUGGUCUAUGCUGGCAUCCUGACUCCAGAAACUGAAAGGGAGACACCUGAAGCUUGGAAGUUUCCCUGGCCUGUGGUAAAGCAAUUCUUGAGGGAAAAUGGCAGAGGCCAAAAGGAAGCAAGACCACACUAUUGCCUUAACCAAACGGGAGAGGAGAGGAGUUUGACUCACUCCGUGUCGUUUGCAUCCAGAGCCACCAUCCUGAUCCCUGAAGUGUGGAAGCUUCAAAUGGUUUGCCAUCCAAGAAGAGCCAGGGGCUGACAAGAUGAUUCAGUGGAUUUGAGCAUUGGCCACCAACCCUGAUGACCUGGACUUUACCCUCCAGUUGUCCUCGGACCUCCACACAUGUCAUGACACACAUUCCCCAUCCUCCAAUACAUUAAUAAAUCUAAAAGGUAUUUUUUUAAAAAGCCAGAGAAAGGUUUGGAAUGUUAAGGCAGCAUGGUGUUAAGAGCUGUGGACUCUGGGCCCACACUGCCUGGGUUCAAAUCCCCAUACUUCUGAUGGCUCUUAUGUGUGGGAAAGUUAUUUAUCCCACCCCCGUGUUUUGGGCUCUCUCUUUGAAAAAUGGGGAAGGGGAGGUGUGGGGUUAGUAAUUAAGGGUUUUCUUGGGGGCACAAUUGAGUUCAUAGUUGUAAAGUUCAUAGAAGAGGUCACUUGGAAAGUCAAGAAUUUCUGUAAUCCACCCAACACCCAUCUGCGAUCAGGUACUAGAGAGCUUGUGAGAACAACUUCUUCUUCUCCUCCUCCUCCUCCUCUUCUUCCUUCUUCUCUUCCUCCUCCUCCUUGUUUUCAAGGCAGGGUUUCUCUGUGUAGCCCUGGCUAUCCUGGAACACCCUUUGUAGACCAGGCAGGCCUCUAACUCACAGAUACCUACCUGCCUCUGCCUCCAUUACACCUCUACCACACUGGCCACCUCCAGUGGGAACUUCUAAGGAGUCCAUCUUAGGAGCCAAGCACCCACUCCCACAUCUUCCAUCACAACCUUGCCCUUUGGACCACUUCCCUGGAUCUGUUUUGAGCUCACAUCACACUCAACCUGGUCAGCUCUUCCCUCAGGGAGCUCCUCCCUUGCUGCCUGAAGGCCUAUCUCUCCUCCUCUGACUUCAUUCGUGCCCACAGGGCCUGCAGCUGACACCUGCCGCCGGGGCCCUCUGGUACUUCUCUCUCCUGGAUAUUGUCUCCAGCCUUAUCUAGGCCAACAGUAUACACAAUACGGGGUUAAGGACAGCUACAGCGUUGCAGAGGGGUCGCGACCAGUGUUCAGAACUGCUCUUGUACGUUGAACGCUGAACUUUGUCCUGCGCUGCACUGUCCAGUGUGGAUUCUGGGGGAACCAGUGACGUGUGCCUCUAAGCACCCCUGGGUUUGCCCUUGUUUCAACCUCAGAGACAAUGGAAGUUCUGCUCCAAUCAGAGACUGACUCCCUCCGAGUUAAGUCCUCUCUGGACCACCCCACCUCCCUGCUCGGGUCAUGUGCUUCCCCCAACGCGUGUCCUGUUCCCUGCUCAAGGGUUGUCAGGCUUUCAUAAGAUAACUCCUGUGGUUAUCACUCAUCCAGAUUCUUACAGCCAGCUGCUCAAAGCUUCCAGAUAAUACACACAAUACUUACUUCUGUUUUCAAUUGCUGAUCUUCAAAAUAAA
rnacentral:lncRNA from 1 species